GUAUAUUUCUUUGUCUUUUUAUACAAAUGGCAAAACCGAAUUGUCCUCGAACCACAAUUUAUUUGGAUUAACAAGCCGUGCAAUUAAAAGGAGAACAAUUGCAAUAUUUCUACGUUUAUUUCGUCUUUUUGUUUUUCGAGGAUUACAAUAGAAAUUCAACACUUUAUAACCUCGUUAGUUUGCAUUGUGCGUCGCCAGAGUUGCCUGAUAAGCCACCGAAACGCAGAAAAGAUCACAGAACACAUCCGCAUUGAAAUCCUCAUUGGGACAAAGGAAAUGAAAACCUGAAUGAAUUAAGAUGAAGUUAAUAACGACGAAAAUUAAUCACUAGACCGUGGAUGUUUAUAGAAAUCCAUAUUUUAUAUUAGUGGUUAUAAUUAAUGAAGAGUUGGACGUUUUUCCGGAAGUGAGUAACAUACAAGUCCCGUUUCGUUUGGUUACGAAAUGUGCUACGAUAUAAAGGGAAAGCACUUGAUAUUUGAAGGUGAUUCGUCAUGAAGUUUCAUUAAAUCCGAGAGAUUUAACAACGACAUCCUUCUUCGUUAAUCAGAUUACCGGUCUCUGGUUUGCUUCACGGUGCGGAACGAAGUCAAAUGGAAUUGUCUUUGAAGAUCAAUGUGUAACACCUCGGUUCUAUGGUCUUUGGAGACACCUCGACGCUAUGGAACAUGAGCUUUUUGUAUUCUGAAACGGAUCUUGAAUGGAAAGAAGGUCGUAAGAGCCGACGAACAAACUUUAAUUGGAAUCCUCUUGAACAUUUAACAUUUCCUAUCUUAUUGUUAAGUUUUCGACUUAAAUGUAGUUUACUAGUCCCUGUGGGAAUUCUGUAGAAUAGACCCACGUGGAGGGUGUCUGCUCGUUAUUGUCCAAUGAAAAAUGAAAAGUUUCUUUAUUUAAUAAAUGAACAAAAAGCAAAGAUUAAUA
rnacentral:lncRNA from 1 species